UUUGGGUUGAAUUUGAGAAGUAGUGAAGAUAGGGAUUUUCGGGUUUCGUUUAGGUUCGUAAUUAUUUAUUCGAAUUGUCGUUUAUGGAAAUGUACUUGUGAACAGGACGUUGUUGCGAGCUAUGGCUAGAUGAAGGAACUCGUUUGUGUGGUCGCCAAUAGUACUUUUGCAGGCGCUAUUAGUUGAGGUCGGGCGUACAUGGUUCGAGGCAUAGUUGAUGAAUUGCUUCCGCACUUCUUUGUUUGGCUCUGACCUAUCGUGGGUUACUGUUUUGGGUAGUCCACUUUAGUGGUGACUCGACCAGUUCCCGGUAGAGUUAUCUCUAAGGUGGGCCCCGCAGGGCCACCUCGGAUUUCAGGGCGAAAUUCGGGGCGGGUCCUGUCACAAUGUAUGAUUACCUUUCCUUGUACAAAUCUGAUUCUAUGCCUUGUAAUCCUCUAUAUAAAGAGACCCUAUUAUCAAUGAAAGCACAACAAUUUCUCUCUCAAA